AUUACGUAAGGAAGCUCAGUGGAUCAGGAGGUUGGGGACUCUAUCCCCACAUGGGUUGAACCAUGAGUAUGACCUGAACCCAUUUUUAUUGAAAUAGUUUUUAAUGUGCUACUGAUCUUAUUUAUUUAUAGGUUAUUACAUGGACAUUUGUAUCCGCUUCCUGGGAGUGGGAUGUAACUACGAUAUUCUUCAAUGAUUUAGUGUUUGAUGGAUACAUUGAAAGAUAAGUACAGCUGGAAGUUAUUUGGAUACAUAUGAAAAGCUUUUAAUCACUAAAAGUAUGUUAUGUAUUUAUGUCUUGACACAAGGGGGCACUGUGAUACAUUGUAUUUAAGGUCAGGUGGUGAUGUGUGUUUUUUAUACUUGACAAAGAGUGGAGUGCCACUCGAAACGUUGUAAUUUUAUGCUGCUGUCCCAUACACAAUAAAGACGGUUUUACGAAAACUGGAGUGCUGUCUACUGGGAGAGAAUUAAUACAACAAUGGAGCCUUGAUGAACAGGCCAUUUGACGUGCACCCGAUGAUACAUUGGUCUAUUCAGUCAGAAAUGUGAGCAGCUAAUUAAUUUCUGUGUAAAUAAUGUGCAGUUACAGCCAAUACCCCACUUGGGUUCACCUGCAGCUGUCCAAAGUCUCUUUAUAACAAUUAUUGCCUGGAUCACUUUGCCAAUGGUCACUGUAAGAAAGGAUGUCACAAUGCUGAGUCUGGUUGGGAUGGAGGAGAUUGUUCAGAUGAAGAAAGAAAGAAAUCUCUGUGCUUUAUCAAAGAGAAAUAAACACUCUCCUACACAAUCUGUCAAUGCUAAUGUGAGCACGAGUGAGACUUCAGAAAGACAGCAGUGGAAAUAUGUUGUUCAGGUGGUCACUCAGCUGUAGUGGCCUUUGGUUUGGGCAUCUGUUGCUGUUGCCGUGGCUCUGGUCUUAGGAGGAUUUAUUGGUGUCCAGCUCAGAAGAAAACAUCAACAUGGGGUAGUAUGGCUUCCUUCAGGAUUCAGUUGGCAUAGAUCAGGAGAGGGUAUCAGGAGAAGGAAACCUGUAGGAGAAGAUGCCACAGGACUCAGGUAAAUCUGCACUACACUGGGCUGCAGCUAUGAAUAAUGCAGCAGCUGUGAAACCCCUUCUCUGCAAUGGGGCAAAUAAGGACAUUCAAGAUAAGAGGGAUGAAACUCCCCUUUUCCUUGCUCCUUCUUGAGCACCAAGUAGAUCAGGACCUCUGCAAUCACACUGGAUGACAGCCAAGACAUUUAGCCCAAGAACGAGGCCACAGAGACAUUUAGAGGCUUCUGGAAGAGUGUUGCCCUGCUGUUCCCAGGAAUACAUCUGUAGUAACUCCUUCUGCUGGGGCACAAGCUAAGCGGACCCACAGAUCUCGGACCAAGGAACAUGCAAAACCUACCCCUUAUCUCACCAUCCCCAGGCUCCAACAUGCUAGACCCAACCAUCUGGCUAUUGUCCAACUCCAGCCUUGGAGCAGACUGCCCCCAAAGACCUGCCUUGUACACCCAAUGACCAAUUUGGGAACAGCAUAUAUUUAACCCUUCCCCAGCUAGGCCAGAGGAAACAUCUCAGACACAAACUUGCAUGCACCACCACCCCUUCUGAGCCCCCUCUCCCGAGUCUAGGAACCCCGGCCCUGGGUGUUUGCAUUUAGCUAAAGAUUUUCAAUUAAUGUAUAUUAGACAGUUUUGUAGUUAUGUUCCCUUCUGUAUGCAAAUUUGGGGUGUUUACACAAAUAGUGCAAAAUAUGGAACAACUUACUAACAACUUCUAUAUAAGAUUUCAUUAUUUGAAUAAGCCAUAAUGCUCUUCCUAUAAAUGUGAUUCAGUAUGUUUGGUUUAUAUUUUGCAACUUACUUGGUUGUACAGUACUUGGUAAAUCAGAACAGGAAACAAUGAAAGUAAGAACACUAGUGUUUGCAGUCAGAAUAUUUCAGUUAAUUUAUGCAAAACAUGUUUUGAAAACUCCACCAUUUCAUGAGCACGGUGCAUUUUCUGGGAACUCUUUGUACCAUAUCAUACUGUUGUGGUUGUUGGGCCCUGGGGAUGCUUUCUAGGUGUGUGUAGACAAUGUGAGCAGGCUAUAGAGUGAAAGCAG